ACCCCCCUCCCGCCAUGAUGCAGGGCUGCAUCCCAAGACCCUGGGAUCAUGACCUGAGCCGAAGGCAGCAGCUUGACCUACUGAUCCACCUAGGCGCCCCAAGAGAGAGAGAGUCA